GAUGAACGCUGGCGGCGUGCCUAAUACAUGUAAGUCGAGCGAACAGACGAGGAGCUUGCUCCUCUGACGUUAGCGGCGGACGGGUGAGUAACACGUGGAUAACCUACCUAUAAGACUGGGAUAACUUCGGGAAACCGGAGCUAAUUCCGGAUAAUAUAUUGAACCGCAUGGUUCAAUAGUGAAAGACGGUUUUGCUGUCACUUAUAGAUGGAUCCGCGCCGCAUUAGCUAGUUGGUAAGGUAACGGCUUACCAAGGCAACGAUGCGUAGCCGACCUGAGAGGGUGAUCGGCCACACUGGAACUGAGACACGGUCCAGACUCCUACGGGAGGCAGCAGUAGGGAAUCUUCCGCAAUGGGCGAAAGCCUGACGGAGCAACGCCGCGUGAGUGAUGAAGGUCUUCGGAUCGUAAAACUCUGUUAUUAGGGAAGAACAAAUGUGUAAGUAACUAUGCACGUCUUGACGGUACCUAAUCAGAAAGCCACGGCUAACUACGUG
rnacentral:rRNA from 1 species